rnacentral:rRNA from 1 species
GUGAAAUUGAACUCGCUGUGAAGAUGCAGUGUACCCGCGGCAAGACGGAAAGACCCCGUGAACCUUUACUAUAGCUUGACACUGAACAUUGAGCCUUGAUGUGUAGGAUAGGUGGGAGGCUUUGAAGCGUGGACGCCAGUCUGCGUGGAGCCAACCUUGAAAUACCACCCUUUAAUGUUUGAUGUUCUAACGUGGACCCGUAAUCCGGGUUGCGGACAGUGUCUGGUGGGUAGUUUGACUGGGGCGGUCUCCUCCUAAAGAGUAACGGAGGAGCACGAAG